GACGAACGCUGGCGGCGUGCCUAAUACAUGCAAGUUGAGCGAUGAAGAUUGGUGCUUGCACCAAUUUGAAGAGCAGCGAACGGGUGAGUAACGCGUGGGGAAUCUGCCUUUGAGCGGGGGACAACAUUUGGAAACGAAUGCUAAUACCGCAUAACAACUUUAAACAUAAGUUUUAAGUUUGAAGGAUGCAAUUGCAUCACUCAAAGAUGAUCCCGCGUUGUAUUAGCUAGUUGGUGAGGUAAAGGCUCACCAAGGCGAUGAUACAUAGCCGACCUGAGAGGGUGAUCGGCCACAUUGGGACUGAGACACGGCCCAAACUCCUACGGGAGGCAGCAGUAGGGAAUCUUCGGCAAUGGACGAAAGUCUGACCGAGCAACGCCGCGUGAGUGAAGAAGGUUUUCGGAUCGUAAAACUCUGUUGGUAGAGAAGAACGUUGGUGAGAGUGGAAAGCUCAUCAAGUGACGGUAACUACCCAGAAAGGGACGGCUAACUACGU
rnacentral:rRNA from 1 species